rnacentral:rRNA from 1 species
GUCAGUGUCUUUAGCGUUGAGGGUCCACCCGUUCCCAUUCCGAACACGGAAGUUAAGCUCAACUGUGCCGAAAAUACUUGGCUGGCGACGGCCCGGAAAGAUAGGUCGAUGCUGACA